UCGAGUGUUUCAAAAGACACGUCGAGCUUAGAAAAAGCGCGGGGUUGGAAGUUGGGGAACGAGAGUGCUUAGAAAUCGGAAGCCAAUUCUCUGACAAACAUCGUCUCUCUCUCUUACAUGAUGCUAGAUCGAAUGCAUUCUCUUUUUAGGGUUUCUUUAAUUGAUGGAUAGGGUUUACAGUUUCGAUAUUUUCGUUGAUUAAGAAGCUGCAUUAGCCUCUGACUUGCUUUGUUGGUGUUUGAAUCUUUCAAAUGUAUUAGUUCCUGAUCGUUUAUUUUCGCUACUUCCUUUUUAUCGGUGCAAGGUAAACGAAGAGAAUUUUCAGACGAGAGAGAAUCAGGAAUUGUGCAAUGCGACGAAGAUGAUAUGUGUUGUUGAACAUGUGAUGAAGGGAUUCAACCAAGUUUCUGGUGUGGAUAAAGAUUUCAACAGGUCCCUCUAGAUCAAGAUUCAUUUGCUUGAUAAUUCCCUUUCUGAAACCAUAUGAAUCAAUCGUAUCCCCAUCUUCUCUUCUUCUUGUUUCUGAUGUGACAUCUAACCAUGCAUUGGAUGAGGGAAAGAAGAAAAUAAUUGGGUUGUAUCAAUGGUGCCCAGUUCGGAUGCUGCAAAAAGAUGCCAAGUUGUUCAGAACAGCCAAGGUUGUAAUCUCGCCUCAUGCCGCCAGUGGUGCCUCCA